CUUAGGAGCCAAUAAUGUUUUUAUUCAAAAUGUCUGAACCUGUCUGAAGCAUCCCAGUGAUGCAAAAUGUUGUACUGAGGCUUCUCUGCUA
rnacentral:snoRNA from 7 species